UCCCAGCAAACACCCGACGUUGACCCAACGUUGGAUCAACGUUGAAUUUUGGUCGCGCCGUCGGUGACCUUCAUACAACGUCAAAUCGACGUUGAAUCCCCGACGUCUAACAGACGUUUCAUUUUGACGUCGACUCGACGUCGGGUUUUGGUCGGUAAUCUGACAAUAGGUGAAUUUAAUUUAUGAAACCAAUAUAUAUAUAAAUGAAAGCAUAAACAGCGAGAAUUUUAAGUUUAAGUUUGGAAAGGGCACAUUAUAUAUUUAUUUUCUCCAUCAAAACAACAGUAUCACGUGGGUGGCUAACGUACGAUAUUCGAUAGGUGGCGCUCUGUAAACGGAUAGUCGCAGAUCAGUAUGAAAUAUAUUUGCUCUAUUUUCGUUUAAAUAAUAUCUUAUCUCCUCGAAUUAGUCUAAGAAGUGUUUAUAUAAUUUACAAUGAAGCUGUUAUCAUUGUGAGGGCUUCAUUUUAUAGUGGUAAAUAAUUUAGUAAAUUCGAAUUUGCGACUUAUCGGAUUUGAAAUUCAAUUGUAUUGGCGGACAAAAAAACGACGGGUUGACAGACAAACUUGUAUAUUCCAAACAAAAGAAAAAGAUUGUGAAAACUAUGAUAAUUCAACAUGUGUCAAAAGUUCAGGAGGAAGAUAAAAAUAUUUAGAGGAAAAGAAAAAUGAAAACCUACCAAGAUUUUGUGACAGAAAGUGUGAUGAGAUCUCAGGUUGGAGACGGUAAUGAUACGCUUAUAGUAUGCCCCAGAUCGACAUAGUGUAGGAGGACGAAAGAAGCUAGAAUACUAAUGAAGAUACAUGAACAUUGCUAUUUAUAGUUAUAACAAAAUAUUCAGAAUAUUGUUCCAUUUAACAUUCAGAUCUAGAUUCAGUUAUAAAAUACAAAGACAAAUAUACAAUCAGUGAGUUGGAUAGAUGAUUGAAAAAUCCCAAACUCAGAGUGAUCAGUUCAGUGGUGAUAUAAGAAAAAACACAUGCAUGGAUGUUUGCUUUAUAAAAUGUCAGUGUUAAUAUUCAAGAAGGAUUUUAAGGAUUUUGUUUAUCUUAUUUCUAAAACAUGCUUAAUUAAUACAUGAAGCGUUAUUAAAGUACAUACCGUCAAGUUUAAUAGUUUCAAAAAAUAUUAUGUAAAUCUUGCAUUUUGUUAUAGUACCACAUUUCUUGUUUUGUACUUGUGAUUCCGAGUAUAAAAUAAAUUGCUAAAAUCAUA